UGAGGUAUUAUUUAUAUCUGGUGUCAGGUGGGUGCCAGAUUCAUUCUGUUCAGUGUGGAAACCCAGCUGUGCCGGCGCCACCUGUUGAAGAGACUACUGUCCUCGGUGAGCAGGCUCGGUUCCGGAUAAGCAGCCGUGGAGGCAAGCGUAGGUUAUACCUGGACCGGCUGCCGCUCCCUCCGUCCCCUGGACUCACUAGUCUUGUGCAAGGCUGCUCUGGUGUGCUCACGGGAGCUUUGGUAUAGAUUUUGGAAUCAAGAGUCCUCUAACUUUGUUAUUUUCCAAGGUCGUUUUGGCCUUUCAGGGUCUACUGCAAUACCCCACGGGUGUGAGGCUCACCCUCUUCGUUGCCGCAAAGAAGACCGUUGGGAUUUCGGGGUGGGUUGCGCGGACUCUGCAGGUCACGUCGAGUACUAUUGACGUAAUAACAACAUCACGCCUUCCUUCUUACAAACGGGAUGCCUUUCUCCUUGUUUAGAUUUACUUCAUUUCAGCGGUGCUGGUGGUUUUCAGCCUACAGAUGGUUUGCUGCCUUGGUUAGGCUUACUGCUAAGCAUUUUAUUCUUUUAGAUGCUACUGCAAACGCAGGCACACAGUGAGAGAGAGAGGCAGAGACAUAGGCAGAGGGAGAAGCAGGCUCCAUGCACCGGGAGCCCGACGUGGGACUCAAUCCCGGGUCUCCAGGAUCGCACCCUGGGCCAAAGGCAGGCGCCAAACCGCUGCGCCACCCAGGGAUCUCUUGGGAUAUUUUUGAAUAAACAUUCAGUGUUCUUACUAGUAAUUUGUUCAGACUCUACUUUUCUUGAUUCAGUUUUAGUAGGUUGUAUGUUUCUAGAAUUCCAAUUACUUGACAUAUAACUGUUCUUGACAGUUACAUGAUUUCCAAUUACUUGACAUAUAACUGUUCUUGGUAGUCUCUUUUCAUCCUUCGUAUUUCUGUAGUGUCAGUUGUUAUGUCUCCUCUUUCAUUUGUAAUUUUGUUGAUUUGGUUCUUUUUUAAUGAUUAGUCCAGCUAAAUGUUUGCCAAUUUUGUUUAUCUUUUCAAAGAACCAACUCAUAGUUUUGUUCAUCUUUCCUAUUGUUUCCUGUUCUCUACUUUA
rnacentral:lncRNA from 1 species